AUUGAACGCUGGCGGCAGGCCUAACACAUGCAAGUCGAACGAGUGGCGGACGGGUGAGUAAUGUCUGGGAAACUGCCUGAUGGAGGGGGAUAACACUUGGAAACAGGUGCUAAUACCGCAUACUGCUGGAUGGACCAGCGGUGCAUUAGCUAGUUGGUGAGGUAACGGCUAACCAAGGCCACGAUGCAUAGCCGACCUGAGAGGGUGAUCGGCCACACUGGGACUGAGACACGGCCCAGACUCCUACGGGAGGCAGCAGUGGGGAAUAUUGGACAAUGGGCGCAAGCCUGAUCCAGCCAUACCGCGUGGGUGAAGAAGGCCUUCGGGUUGUAAAGCCCUUUUGUUGGGAAAGCGGUACCCAAAGAAUAAGCACCGGCUAACUUCGUGCCAGCAGCCGCGGUAAUAC
rnacentral:rRNA from 1 species